GAUGAACGCUGGCGGCGUGCCUAAUACAUGCAAGUCGAGCGAACGGACGAGAAGCUUGCUUCUCUGAUGUUAGCGGCGGACGGGUGAGUAACACGUGGAUAACCUACCUAUAAGACUGGGAUAACUUCGGGAAACCGUAGCUAAUACCGGAUAAUAUUUUGAACCGCAUGGUUCAAAAGUGAAAGACGGUCUUGCUGUCACUUAUAGAUGGAUCCGCGCUGCAUUAGCUAGUUGGUAAGGUAACGGCUUACCAAGGCAACGAUGCAUAGCCGACCUGAGAGGGUGAUCGGCCACACUGGAACUGAGACACGGUCCAGACUCCUACGGGAGGCAGCAGUAGGGAAUCUUCCGCAAUGGGCGAAAGCCUGACGGAGCAACGCCGCGUGAGUGAUGAAAGUCUUCGGAUCGUAAAACUCUGUUAUUAGGGAAGAACAUAUGUGUAAGUAACUGUGCACAUCUUGACGGUACCUAAUCAGAAAGCCACGGCUAACUACGUGCCAGCAGCCGCGGUAAUACGUAGGUGGCAAGCGUUAUCCGGAAAUUAUUGGCGUAAAGCGCGCGUAGGCGGUUUUUUAGUCUGAUGUGAAAGCCCACGGCUCAACCGUGGGGGGUCAUUGGAAACUGGAAAACUUGAGUGCAGAAGAGGAAAGUGGAAUUCCAUGUGUAGCGGUGAAAUGCGCAGAGAUAUGGAGGAACACCAGUGGCGAAGGCGACUUUCUGGUCUGUAACUGACGCUGAUGUGCGAAAGCGUGGGGAUCAAACAGGAUUAGAUACCCUGGUAGUCCACGCCGUAAACGAUGAGUGCUAAGUGUUAGGGGGUUUCCGCCCCUUAGUGCUGCAGCUAACGCAUUAAGCACUCCGCCUGGGGAGUACGACCGCAAGGUUGAAACUCAAAGGAAUUGACGGGGACCCGCACAAGCGGUGGAGCAUGUGGUUUAAUUCGAAGCAACGCGAAGAACCUUACCAAAUCUUGACAUCCUUUGACAACUCUAGAGAUAGAGCCUUCCCCUUCGGGGGACAAAGUGACAGGUGGUGCAUGGUUGUCGUCAGCUCGUGUCGUGAGAUGUUGGGUUAAGUCCCGCAACGAGCGCAACCCUUAAGCUUAGUUGCCAUCAUUAAGUUGGGCACUCUAAGUUGACUGCCGGUGACAAACCGGAGGAAGGUGGGGAUGACGUCAAAUCAUCAUGCCCCUUAUGAUUUGGGCUACACACGUGCUACAAUGGACAAUACAAAGGGCAGCGAAACCGCGAGGUCAAGCAAAUCCCAUAAAGUUGUUCUCAGUUCGGAUUGUAGUCUGCAACUCGACUACAUGAAGCUGGAAUCGCUAGUAAUCGUAGAUCAGCAUGCUACGGUGAAUACGUUCCCGGGUCU
rnacentral:rRNA from 1 species